UGCGUAGGCGGGCUAAUAAGUCAGUGGUGAAAUCUCUCGGCUCAACUGGGAAACUGCCAUUGAUACUGUUAGUCUUGAGUUCGGUUGAGGUAGGCGGAAUGUGUAAUGUAGCGGUGAAAUGCUUAGAUAUUACACAGAACACCAAUUGCGUAGGCAGCUUACUAGACCGACACUGACGCUGAGGCACGAAAGCGUGGGGAGCGAACAGGAUUAGAUACCCUGGUAGUCC
rnacentral:rRNA from 1 species